AUUGAACGCUGGCGGCAUGCCUUACACAUGCAAGUCGAACGGCAGCACGGGUGCUUGCACCUGGUGGCGAGUGGCGAACGGGUGGGUAAUACAUCGGAACAUGUCCUGUAGUGGGGGGUAGCCCGGCGAAAGCCGGAUUAAUACCGCAUACGAUCUACGGAUGAAAGCGGGGGACCUUCGGGCCUCGCGCUAUAGGGUUGGCCGAUGGCUGAUUAGCUAGUUGGUGGGGUAAAGGCCUACCAAGGCGACGAUCAGUAGCUGGUCUGAGAGGACGACCAGCCACACUGGGACUGAGACACGGCCCAGACUCCUACGGGAGGCAGCAGUGGGGAAUUUUGGACAAUGGGCGAAAGCCUGAUCCAGCAAUGCCGCGUGUGUGAAGAAGGCCUUCGGGUUGUAAAGCACUUUUGUCCGGAAAGAAAUCCUUGGCCCUAAUACGGUCGGGGGAUGACGGUACCGGAAGAAUAAGCACCGGCUAACUACGUG
rnacentral:rRNA from 1 species